rnacentral:rRNA from 1 species
UACGUAGGCAGCGAGCGUUGUUCGGAAUUACUGGGCGUAAGCGCACGUAGGCGGAUUUGUAAGUCAGGGGUGAAAUCCCGGGGCUCAACCUCGGAACUGCCUUUGAUACUGCAAAUCUCGAGUCCGGAAGAGGUGAGUGGAAUUCCUAGUGUAGAGGUGAAAUUCGUAGAUAUUCGCAAGAACACCAGUGGCGAAGGCGGCUCACUGGCCCGGUACUGACGCUGAGGUGCGAAAGCGUGGGGAGCAAACAGG